rnacentral:rRNA from 1 species
GACGAACGCUGGCGGCGUGCCUAAUACAUGCAAGUAGAACGCACAGUUUAUACCGUAGCUUGCUACACCAUAGACUGUGAGUUGCGAACGGGUGAGUAACGCGUAGGUAACCUGCCUGGUAGCGGGGGAUAACUAUUGGAAACGAUAGCUAAUACCGCAUAAUAUUAAUUAUUGCAUGAUAAUUAAUUGAAAGGUGCAAUUGCACCACUACCAGAUGGACCUGCGUUGUAUUAGCUAGUAGGUGAGGUAACGGCUCACCUAGGCGACGAUACAUAGCCGAACUGCGAGGGUGAUCGGCCACCCUGGGACUGAGACACGGCCCAGACUGCUACGGGAGGCAGCAGUAGGGAAUCGUGGGCAAUGGACGAAAGUCUGACCGAGCAACGCCGAGUGAGUGAAGAAGGGUGUCGGAUCGUAAAGCUCGGUUGUCAGAGAAGAAAGGGUGUGAGAGUGGAAAGUUCACACUGUGACGGUAUCUUACCAGAAAGGGACGGCUAACUACGUG